rfam:Dipodomys ordii contig_85717, whole genome shotgun sequence.
UGGAAAGUGGCUCAGUGACAGAGUGCUUGCCUUGCAUGCAUGAGGCCCUGGGUUCAAUUCCUCAGCAUCACAU